AUUAGAUUCAGCAAACCCAAACAAACCAUCUAUGUUUGGCUCAGAGGAGUCGGUCCACCUUGUUCUUGGCACUGUUAAUAGCAUAAAGAGGACAUCCCGAUUAAUGCUUGUUCCAGACAGGAGGACCGUGGCUGUCAGGAAACUACCGAGGAGAGAAGCCUCCAUGACAUUUCUGUCAAAAAAUGUACAUGCUGCACCUGGAGUUCCUUGACAACCUAGAUCCAGGGCCUCUGUGGCCGCACCAUGGAUUACGGUUUGUGGAUCGCGCACCGGGGGUCGCGGUGUUGGAUCCAGUGUGGCGGAUUCUGAGUCAUGUGGGCUGAUCGUGGUGCUGGUGGCGGACCCUGUGUCGCGUUGGCAUUGGGCACGGGCGGUGGACCAGGACCGCAGUGGUGGCUUGUGAUGGGUCCUCCUGGUGGGCGGCGGUGGACGGUGACUGAGGACUGAAGUGGCGUCUGGUCUGGAUGGUGGAUCGUGGUCUAGAUGGUUGCUGAGCAUGGACUGUGCUUCAUCAAUGCUGCUAGAGACUUUGAUUAUUGCUGAUGUUCUCCUGCACGUGGCAUCUAUUGCACUUCUGUCCGUCCUGGGAGAGGGAUCCCUCACAUGUGGCUCUCUCUGAGGUUUCUACAUAUUUUUACCCUGUUAAAAGGGUUUUUUGUAGUUUUUCCUUACUCUUGCUGAGGGUUAAGGACAGAGGAUGUCACACCCUGUUAAAGCCCUAUGAGAUGAAUUGUAAUUUGUGAAUAUGGGCUAUACAAAUAAAAUUUGAUUGAUUGAUUGA